UGUCAAAUUUUCAGAAUUUUCCUUUUUUUUAAUAAAUUCCAAAGUCAAACUUCAAUCACAUGUUGAGAGAGGUUGCCGACAAAACCUCAAUCUCUUUUCCUGCAGUGAAAGCUCCAUCUCUCUUCCCUGAAAACGUCCAAAACCCUACACGCUCAAACCAGCUUAUCUGGUCAAACGUCAGAAAACUUCCACCUUUCCAGUUUCCUCAAACAGUUUCUCAUUCAAAAUUCAAAUUCAUUAUUUCCCCAAACCAGAUCUGCAAAACAAUUUCCAUAACCCAGAGAGAGACGAGACGACCGUUUAUUUGUUGUAUUCACACAUUCAUUCUUCACAUUUUCAUCUUCUCUUUGAAACCCUGAUGGAAACGCCCUUGAUUCAGCCAAUCGAUCUUCAUCUAUAAGUGUUUUGCUUUCGUUCAAUAAAUAUCCUCAAUCCUUCACCAAAUCAAACAUUCUGAGACACUUUUCACAAACCCUAAAUACCUACACCAUACAUUUGUGUCUUCUUCGAUUCACUUGCUUUUUAUUCGAUUCAUCAUUCAGUGAUUUGAGGGUUUUGCUAUCCCUCUUCAAUCUGUUGCCGCCAGAAGGAGCUAUUUCAUUUAAAGAUGGAAUGUAAAUUGAGCUUCAAAACUAAGAAUUGCAAUUUUACAUAAGCUCAAAAUGCUCCGGAGGUCGCCCACAGUCGAGGAAUAAGAGGUUGAAGAAAAAUACACUUACAUAUAGAUAGCACAUGUGAAGAAUCUUUUAAUCCGCAAAAGUGUUAUUGUAUUCUUUUAAACUGUUCUUUACUUAUUUUCCUAAUAAGAAGAUGAUGAUAAUUGAAAAAAUCUAGAGUAGUUUUAGUGUGCCUUAAUGAUGAUAGUUGGAAUGGAGUGAACCAUUUAUUUU